UACGGAAGGCAGCAGUGGGGAAUAUUGCACAAUGGGCGAAAGCCUGAUGCAGCUAUGCCGCGUGUAUGAAGAAGGCCUUAGGGUUGUAAAGUACUUUCAUCGGGGAGGAAAAACAAAACUAAUAAUUUUAUUUCUUGACGUUACCCGAAAAAGAAGCACCGGCUAACUCCGUGCCGGCAGCCGCGGUAAUACGGAGGGUGCUAGCGUUAAUCAGAAUUACUGGGCGUAAAGAGCACGUAGGUGGUUUUUUUAAGUCAGAUGUGAAAUCCCUGGGCUUAACCUAGGAACUGCAUUUUGAAACUGAAAUACUAGAGUAUCGUAGAGGGAGGUAGAAUUCUAGGUGUAGCGGUGAAAUGCGUAGAUAUCUGGAGGAAUACCUGUGGCGAAAGCGGCCUCCUAAACGAAUACUGACACUGAGGUGCGAAAGCGUGGGGAGCAAACAGGGAUUAGAUACC
rnacentral:rRNA from 1 species